UUAUCCGGAAUUAUUGGGCGUAAAGGGCUCGUAGGCGGUUCGUCGCGUGCCGGUGUGAAAGUGCCAUGCGCUUAACGGUGGAUCCGCGCCGGGUACGGGCGGGCUUGAGUGCGGUAGGGGAGACUGGAAUUCCCGGUGUAACGGUGGAAUGUGUAGAUAUCGGGAAGAACACCAAUGGCGAAGGCAGGUCUCUGGGCCGUCACUGACGCUGAGGAGCGAAAGCGUGGGGAGCGAACAGGAUUAGAUACCCUGGUAGUCCACGCCGUAAACGGUGGAUGCUGGAUGUGGGGACC
rnacentral:rRNA from 1 species